rnacentral:ncRNA from 1 species
UUGAAUAGCGUUUUCGAUAUAUAGCAAAUGAUAUGGAUUUGAAGUUUCUACCCGGACGCCGUAAAUGACCGGACUAUCGGAAGAUGUAUUA